CUUAAAGAAGAUUGAUAGGAAAAUCAAUGCCUUAUGAACAAAAGAACAACAGGUGACUGAUCCACCUUGCAGGGAAUGCCAUUUAUCACACCCUGAAAGCUACCUCCUAAGGCUGCUAAGUCAGAAGAAGAAAGAAGAAAAUACACUUGCACUGGCAAUUUGGAGUUAUGGGAUGUCACCUCUUGGGGCUAUCUCAGGAUAGCAUCUUCAGCACCUCAGGCAGUUGUUCAUUACACA